rnacentral:rRNA from 1 species
CGCAACCCUUGUCCUUAGUUACCAGCACGUUAUGUGGGCACUCUAAGGAGGACUGCCGGUGGACAAACCGGAGGAAGGUGGGGAUGACGUCAAGUCAUCAUGGCCCUUACGGCCUGGGCUACACACGUGCUACAAUGGUCGGUACAAAGGGUUGCCAAGCCGCGAGGUGGAGCUAAUCCCAUAAAACCGAUCGUAGUCCGGAUCGCAGUCUGCAACUCGACUGCGUGAAGUCGGAAUCGCUAGUAAUCGUGAAUCAGAAUGUCACGGUGAAUACGUUCCCGGGCCUU